rnacentral:misc_RNA from 1 species
AAUUACCAUAAUUAUUUUUAAUAAUCGGCUUAUUAUAAUUGAAGAUAAUGACAUCUCAUUUUCCAUGUCCUCCUCCAUAACCUGAUCCAUAUCCUCCACCAUAGCCCGACCCUCCUCCUCCACGACCACCCGACCCAGAGCCCGCUCGAGACCCUGCAUACGAGCCUGCUUCAGAUCCAGCGUCGGAACCCGACCCAGAAGAAGAAGAGCUAGAACUAGAACUCGAACUGGAACUAGAUCCAGAGCCAGAGCCCGAGCCCGAGCCCGAGCCCGAGCCCGAGCCC